AUGGCAACAGUGCAUGGCGGCCCGGAUGGUCACCCAUCCAAGUGCCAGCCAUGCCCGACAGCACUUAGCUUCGUUGAUCUGACGGGAACCAGUGUAUCCACUGCGGCAAGCCCAUUGCCAUCACUAUGUACAAGGACCAAGACAGACAACUCACUCACCUGAUAUGGAGCAACAAGAGGACAACACGGGAAGGAGUGUCUGAAGGACAGCUGCAGUGGAAGGCAUUGCAGAAGUCUGUUGCCUGGACAGUCCCUCACGAACAGUUGCUCCAUCCUUACUAUGCAGAGCAAGUCAGAACUCUGUGACACUGGUUUCUUCAAGUGUGUGCUCAUGAACUGCAGUCUAUGGUGAAUGGGUUGUUUACUUGUGAGGGGUGCUUCAUGAGUCUCAGAAGAUACAAGUAUGAAGUUGAUUAAGGAAAUACUCUGGGAGCUGUGGCCACACCAAAAAAAUCAUCAAGACCAUCAGCAGUAUGAAGGACCAUCGGACACCACCCUCCAAUUCAGUGCACACCAGACACCUCCUUUUACCAACCUUCAACUAUUCAGACCACAGAAACCUACAAUUUCAUGAACAUGUGUGUUA